rnacentral:tRNA from 1 species
AGGUAUUUAGUCCAACAAUCAAGACCAUUAAUUUCGACUUAAUAAAUUAUGGUGAAAAUCCAUAAAUACCUU